rnacentral:rRNA from 1 species
CACGUGAGUAACCUGCCCUUAACUCUGGGAUAAGCCUGGGAAACUGGGUCUAAUACCGGAUAGGAGCGCCCACCGCAUGGUGGGUGUUGGAAAGAUUUAUCGGUUUUGGAUGGACUCGCGGCCUAUCAGCUUGUUGGUGAGGUAAUGGCUCACCAAGGCGACGACGGGUAGCCGGCCUGAGAGGGUGACCGGCCACACUGGGACUGAGACACGGCCCAGACUCCUACGGGAGGCAGCAGUGGGGAAUAUUGCACAAUGGGCGAAAGCCUGAUGCAGCGACGCCGCGUGAGGGAUGACGGCCUUCGGGUUGUAAACCUCUUUCAGUAGGGAAGAAGCGAAAGUGACGGUACCUGCAGAAGAAGCACCGGCUAACUACGUGCCAGCAGCCGCGGUAAUACGUAGGGUGCGAGCGUUAUCCGGAAUUAUUGGGCGUAAAGAGCUCGUAGGCGGUUUGUCGCGUCUGUCGUGAAAGUCCGGGGCUUAACCCCGGAUCUGCGGUGGGUACGGGCAGACUAGAGUGCAGUAGGGGAGACUGGAAUUCCUGGUGUAGCGGUGGAAUGCGCAGAUAUCAGGAGGAACACCGAUGGCGAAGGCAGGUCUCUGGGCUGUAACUGACGCUGAGGAGCGAAAGCAUGGGGAGCGAACAGGAUUAGAUACCCUGGUAGUCCAUGCCGUAAACGUUGGGCACUAGGUGUGGGGACCAUUCCACGGUUUCCGCGCCGCAGCUAACGCAUUAAGUGCCCCGCCUGGGGGAGUACGGCCGCAAGGCUAAAACUCAAA